rnacentral:lncRNA from 1 species
CACAAAUAAUAAGCAUAAAGAUAUUUGGUAGAGUAUUAUUUGGUGACUGCCAAUGAAGAAGUUUGUGUAAAGCUUGGAUUUAUUUGAAGAUGUAUAGAUGGCAUAAUGUCUAGGAGUUAUAUGUAAGGUAGUGAAGAAUAGUGCAAUAUAUGAGAGGGGAGCUCUACUUCUAUUAGGGGAGAAAAAUAAAAAUCCUUGAUUUUUUCAUCUAUACUCAAGUAAAAAUAUUGAUGCAAGUGAGGAUUGAAUUUGAAUUUUUCUAGCUUGGUCUCAACAAUAUAACCUGGAGAAUAAAAAAUGUACAAUUAAGAUAUAUUUGAUUUGAUGCCCAAGAAGAGUUCAUUCAAGAUUUUAUUUGGAUUUUGUUUUGUAGAUUGUAGGUUGAGUAUGAUAGCAAUUGCACAAAGAACUUCUGCUCACAUAUUACUAAAGAGUUUUCUAUCUAAUA